CAGUUUCAUAGAGAGCAAUUGUGGGCAG
rnacentral:sRNA from 1 species